UGCAAUGUCUUCACUCUACAAUCCAGUGGCUAGUUAAUUGUUGCUCUUGUAGUUCGCCUGAGUUGUUACACCCUGUAUUUGAUUACAGUAUUGCACUUAUUCAUAUACAUGGCUCGAUGUGCGUGUGUAUUCGAUUCACACAGUGUAGUACGGAUGCGUGUAUGUGCAGGCUGCCUCAGCUAGCUACCCUGGCAGCAGCCAAACAGACGAGUAGCUAAAGCCAAUGUCGGUGUCACUACUUCCCCAGCAGCUAGCCCUGCGUGCCGUACAUAUUGCAGCAAAUAAAGGGUAGGCAGGCCUUCAGUGAACUAACAUAACCACAUACAUGGCAAUGGAGAUCCAUGGUUAAGAGGCCGGGCAUGCUGUGCCACCAGACCUGCGUUGUGCCAUCAGACCUGCGUUGUGAUCUGGAGUUGGUGCUUGGGGGUGUUGCUGACAGAGUGCUGGACGAGCAAGGUCCUAGUGUUCCUUAUCAGCUAAGGACCGGAACGAACCCCCCAAUAGCAUUCACGGUGAUGACCUUAUAGUGCAUUACACUACUUUUAAGUUGCCUGUUGGGAGCUUAGGGAGUUUGCUGGGCGUCUGGAUAGCCUGUGUAGUUGCUGGCCGCUGGAAAGGCCUCUCGAGAUACUGGUGGAGCGCUUAGCGUGUACUUGUUAUGUGUGCCGUACAGUGUACCGGCUACUACACAUCCCCCCUUUUGAAGGGAUCCGUCUCGGGCCCUUACGGCCACGUAUACCACCAGCCUGUGCCUACCUUCGCCUACCCUCGGGCAGUGGGUGACUAGUCCACGUCACGUCAUGUGUUGCACUGACAUGCGCCUAGCCGUAUUAAGAUUUUUCAGGCAUAGAGACAUUACAAUCGAUGAUAGCUACUUUUGUCACGACUAUCGUGUAAUUAGUCGUCUAACCCGAUUUACACGAAACGUGAUUGGUGGGAGUUAUAUGACGACUUCAGAAUCGUACUCCCGUACAAGGUCUCGAUACCAAAUGUAUUAGCUGGCCGGAGAAGAGGCCACUCGAGAUGCUGUUUUAGCGCUUAGUGCGUACUUGUAGUUGUUAUGUGUGCCGUACAGUGUACCGGCUACUACAGCCUGGGUGACACCCAUGCUUUCCCAAGUGGAAGUACGGCAUCAAGGCAUGCCGCUAUCAGAAGUGGAUGGGAGCACCCCCACCUAGGGGCGUGCAUCUCGUGUGGCUGGUGGACACGGAAGCAACUGUGCCCCGGCAUUUGCAACAAGUGCUCAUGCGUUUCCAGUUGGUGAACUCGUGUUUCAAGGGUGCAGCAUGCACACAAGUAUCACUGAGGCCCCACCCCUGACAUUGGCCGAUACUUCAAGGAAAUACCAGGAGGCCAGGCACGGUGUGCUAAGGUGUUUCACUUCAUCAGGGUAUCUUAGUUAAGGAUUUCUCAGUUCUAACCUGAGUUUGAAUUCCAACAGAAGUGAUUUCUGUUGAGCGGGAUGUGGUCCCCGGGCCCCGUGACCGCUGGUUAUCCUUUGGGUGCUGCCAUCACACAGGGACCCUGAGGCACAUCAAGGUCGAGGAUGCCCUCUACUGCUUGAAGGCGGGCAAAUGUUUUAUUCUGGGCAUAUCACGGGAUCUGCAUCUGUGAAUUUCUGAAGUUGUACGAUAAUGUUAUACGACGCGUGGUAUAACAUAGAUAAACUUGACAGGAUUUAACUUUGGAUGAUGCUGGAGGAACACGGAGUGACGCAUGAGCGAGGUGCUGAACAAGUUAAAAUGUUGUUGUAAGCAUGUGGAGAUGAUGUAGUAGCUGGCCGCUGAAAAGGCCUCUCGAGAUGCUGGCGGUCGCGCUUAGCGCGUAUUUGUAGAGGUUAUGUGUGCCGUACUGUGAAUCGAAUUCGGUUACGAACAUAGCGCACUCCAGGCACGGUGCAGCAUACUCUUACCCCAAAAGUGGAUGCCCGGGUGGGUGAGAAGUCUACCAGCGGAGUAAAAAAACAAAGUCCUCCAUCUUGGACGUGUACGGGGACCAGUGUUUUUUUUUUCGUUUGGGGCCUAAUACCCUAGAGUAAUAAACUGGGUGUUUCUUGCGGUUGCAAUUCCUUUUUGUAUAGUCGCUGGGGGUAUNNNNNNNNNNNNNNNNNNNNNNNNNNNNNNNNNNNNNNNNNNNNNNNNNNAGCUGAGUCGCUGAUUGCUGCAGUUGUGCGUUGCCGCUUCGCUGGGGGAUCCUCAGCUUCACUCAAAUCGCUGGCUUCACUGACUUCAAGAGUGGCAACUACGGCAUGCCUAUCCUUGUCUUCUGUAUUAUCUAAUUCUUCUCCUAAAUGUUUGGGGCAUUGUGUCUGCGGACUUUCUGAGCCGUUUGCUUUGGUCAAGAAUGAACGAAUGCCCCGUUGACCUAAGUUGAAUGCAACAGCGGGCCGUCUCAUGGUGAUAUCAUCAAAUAUUUUAUACAUAAAUAGUGUAUAAGCUCCAAAUGUUCAGUUUUAUAUGUGCAGAAGGCAUUUGGGGCGACUUAUGGCCGAAGUAAUGAACCAGUACGGCCAACUGACCAAUUAUUCCAUUUCUUCCAGGCUCAGACCCCCAUUUAUUCCCAAAGGCCUCGAUACCAAAUGUAUUAGCUGGCCGGAGAAGAGGCCACUCGAGAUGCUGUUUUAGCGCUUAGUGCGUACUUGUAGUUGUUAUGUGUGCCGUACAGUGUACCGGCUACUACAGCCUGGGUGACACCCAUGCUUUCCCAAGUGGAAGUACGGCAUCAAGGCAUGCCGCUAUCAGAAGUGGAUGGGAGCACCCCCACCUAGGGGCGUGCAUCUCGUGUGGCUGGUGGACACGGAAGCAACUGUGCCCCGGCAUUUGCAACAAGUGCUCAUGCGUUUCCAGUUGGUGAACUCGUGUUUCAAGGGUGCAGCAUGCACACAAGUAUCACUGAGGCCCCACCCCUGACAUUGGCCGAUACUUCAAGGAAAUACCAGGAGGCCAGGCACGGUGUGCUAAGGUGUUUCACUUCAUCAGGGUAUCUUAGUUAAGGAUUUCUCAGUUCUAACCUGAGUUUGAAUUCCAACAGAAGUGAUUUCUGUUGAGCGGGAUGUGGUCCCCGGGCCCCGUGACCGCUGGUUAUCCUUUGGGUGCUGCCAUCACACAGGGACCCUGAGGCACAUCGUCUGUAUUUUUUCGGGCAUUGUAUAGGCGAGAUAUUCGGGAAAAUAGGUGAAAGGUAUAUAGGCCAGUAAGGUGUACACAUAUUAUACGAGACUUAAAGGCUUAGGCAUAAGAGGCGCAUGUGUAAGUGAUGGCCUAAUAUACGAUCCUGUAUGGCAUAGUAUUAUAAGCACAUUUUUACAUCAUAACCUGUAGCAAGGGAUGUUUAGGCUAUGCGGUAUACAGGUAUGUAUACACUUGAUGUUGUAAACGACAUUGCCUAUAUAGACGCAAGUAUACAUGAUUCCCUAUAAUAGGACCUGUACAGGCAUCGCAUAAUAGGCUUUUCUUACGAGUCACCCUUUAGAUACCCAAGUCAUCGCUGUAAUCGAUCGCACGACCUCACUACCUCUCUUAUUAAAUCGUUAUCCUUGCCAUGUCUAAGGACUUGAAACGGCACACUUUUUUACCGUGGCUCGAUCCCGGGAUCUCACGUGAGUAUUGGUCGCGCCUUACCGGUAGUACUUAACGCAGAAUGUAAAGUAAGGGUUGUUCCAGCUUUUAUACUUAGAAUCUAAAGGGCACUCAUGAACAUCAGCUGCGUUAGCCUGGCUUGUCGUCCAUGCGGCAGCCUCUGGGCAAAUGGCCCAACUCCAUUUGAGUUUGCUGCUGGCUGCGGCCAAGAAACAUGCAAUGCAACCGCCAUAUGAUCCCUAGGUGUAAUUGUUUUGCAUACAAGUCGACGUAGAUACCUCCUGUGACCGCCGUACAGGAAGGAAAUUUUCCGGUACGACAACAUGUGAGGUCCAGAACCGAACACAAAAGCAGGAAUCACCAUUCAGAGCGUAAAACGUCGCCGUCCAUGACUUAUGCAUAUGAAUUCACGUGUUCUCUUCGCGUUUUUCUCCUUCUUCGUAAGGCCAACGCGUCGACCAACGCACAUCUUACACCCGUCCGGUCCAGAGCCUCUAUAGCAAUAAUAUUGACAUAAACAUAAAAGUCAUUUAUGAACAUCUGCUACGUUUGUCUAGCAUUGUCGUACCGGAGGUUGGGUCGGCAGCAGACCAUGAACUUCUCGCCUAGGAAAAUACUUAGCGCAGCCAAGAAACAUAAUUUAAAUCUGUUAGUUCAUCCCAUUGGUCUUAGGGUUGCCUUCAAGUCGACGUAGAUGCCACCUCCUGUCACCGCCGUAUCGGAAUGCAUUUAUCAAGCAAAAGACCCGAAAAGAUUAUAACCUUGCAGAACUCAUUUCAGUGCUUUUGGAAAAGAGGUUUAGACCUUGCCACCCCGGCAAGCCAGAAACUAGUUUCGGUCGCAAAACUUUUGUAUUUUCAAAGCAUACACACGCGUGAUACCUAAGAAUACGAGAAUUAUUAACAGUUUAAUACUUGUGGAAUUUCGUAGGCGUUUGCGGUGCAACUGGCGCGAAUAGGAGGUCUUCCUAGCAGGUCUUAAUGACAAGGGGUGCCUGACGGCGUUGCAUGGACUCCAUCGAUGCAUGUGCCUCGGCAUGACGGGUGAAUACAAAACGGUUCAUAUGCACAGACCUCAUAGUUUGCAGCAUUUUAAGGGAGGUCAAAGGUGUUUCGCACGNNNNNNNNNNNNNNNNNNNNNNNNNNNNNNNNNNNNNNNNNNNNNNNNNNUCCAUCGCUUUGGCCUUUUGGCACACGCUGUGUUUGCUGGCGCCGCGCCUGGCUUUUGAAUCACCAGCGGUGCGUGCUGCGAAGCACCCGCCCUUGAAGGUGGCGGUGGUGCCGUGGCGACAUCUUGGGGCGGUGGCCCUUCCUCGUCAGAAUCAAGCUGCUCAGCUGAGUCGCUGAUUGCUGCAGUUGUGCGUUGCCGCUUCGCUGGGGGAUCCUCAGCUUCACUCAAAUCGCUGGCUUCACUGACUUCAAGAGUGGCAACUACGGCAUGCCUAUCCUUGUCUUCUGUAUUAUCUAAUUCUUCUCCUAAAUGUUUGGGGCAUUGUGUCUGCGGACUUUCUGAGCCGUUUGCUUUGGUCAAGAAUGAACGAAUGCCCCGUUGACCUAAGUUGAAUGCAACAGCGGGCCGUCUCAUGGUGAUAUCAUCAAAUAUUUUAUACAUAAAUAGUGUAUAAGCUCCAAAUGUUCAGUUUUAUAUGUGCAGAAGGCAUUUGGGGCGACUUAUGGCCGAAGUAAUGAACCAGUACGGCCAACUGACCAAUUAUUCCAUUUCUUCCAGGCUCAGACCCCCAUUUAUUCCCAAAAAAGUAAUAUAUUACCAAAAAAAACACUGACGGGGACUGACGAAAUGUCACAAUAACAUGAUAAGUUAAAGUCCUACGGGAUCUCAAAUAACCAAGUAUCCUACGUAGUGUACGGGAUAUGCCGGGGGCGCCCGAGGACGUUCGCUCGAAGGGUGGAGGAAUAUAAGAAGGGUUCAGGUCCCUUGGCAUCUCCCUGAGUAAUCUUUGCCCGGUGUUACAGGGAACAGCAACGUGCUACCACCGCCAUCAUCUUGUAGUAUCCUGGGUAUCACGGGAUCUGUCAUCCGCCGAUCGGUUCUUUUCUGCAAAAAGACGUGGUACAACAGAUCUGCUGCUAACGAGUCAUGUUUAAUGGCCUCGGUAUUGGCCGCGGUAUUGCCGCGGCGGUAUUGCCCUGCCUUUGGAAGGUGCAUGAAUAAACUCAAAAAAGUUUUUCCAGGGCUUGCCAUGCAUAGCGCAUGUACGGCUAAAUAUGGACUACUGCUGAUGAUGCAUGCCCAGCUAUGCCUACAUAUAGCACUGCUCCACGCCAGGCAUAAAUCCGUCACGAAAACGCACGCUACACGUAUGUAGGCUUGCCCACAUGAGGAAUUGUCUUACUGUGUAAUGGGUGUGGUUGAGGGUGCUCCAGCCUAUGUUGUGAUGGGACUUACGAGAAAUGGUACGAAUACGAUGAGUUGAAUGAGGCACGAUUACCAAUAGAAAGCUUACAGGAGCAAAUUCCAGGUACAAGACGACGAACGCUUUUGAGUUUGUUACACAAGCACAACUCAUCAGAUAGCUUUAAAGCUAUCGUCGUCUUGUACCUGUUUUGUGCCUUGGUGGCCGAAAGGCUGACUUCUUCGCCUGGUUUGCCAGGGAUGCUUUGGGAAAAUCCUGAGCUUUGUAGUCGGAAAAGACAAGCUACAUUAACGUGUUCCUCUCCCUCUUGUGCCUCUCUCCUUCCUCUCUUAACGCUCUCUCCUUUCCCUGAACACGUCUCCGCUCCCUCCUCUCUGUAGUAUCCUGGGUAUCACGGGAUCCAAAUUCACUGAUCAAUUCUUUUCUGGAAAAGACGUGAUACAACACUCUCUCCUUUCGUCCCUUCUCUCCCUUCUGUCCCUCCUCUCCCUCGUCUCCCUCUUCUUAAUUCUCUCCGUUCUCUCCCUCACGCUCUCCUCCAUCCUCGGCGAGUAGUCCUCGCAUUCCUUUUCCCUCCUCUCCCUCCUCUCAAUUCCCUCCCUCGUCUCCUUGUGGACGAUUUGCUGAUAAUGUUGCAGAUGAACUUCCCAUUAUUAAGGUUUAACUCCGUACACUUCUCUACCUGCAGUUCUUGGGUACAGCAUCCUAUAUUUUAUUACUAUUCCUUCUUAACUUAUUUCCCUUCUUUGCUUGCCGCUUCACGUUGCCAUUUCUUCAUGCGAACUUUGCAACCGCCUUAUGCUCGGCCAGUACUUCACACUGUACAUCUUCCUAACUUCUGCGCUUUGCAUUUCACCAUGUUUUCUCUCUUAUUCAAUAACACCACGCUUCGGCCCCGGCCGCAGCGCCUUCUGUUACGGCGUUCCUGCCGGAUUGUGCAAAGAGUACAGGUGGCCUGCGAUAUUCUGACUCACUUCAGCUUUACGACGGUCGCACAAAUCGAAAUGUGCAUGAAAGUUACAUCUAAUUCGUACGAAACCUUGCUUUAAGAGUCUGUUGCACGGAUAAAAAGUCAGUUUCUUUGUUGGAGGGCCUCGAGCAGACAUCGGCAAACGGAGUUUUUCUGGUCUCUUGAACGGAUCUAUUUCUAGCCCCGAAGUUACGACAUGGUCACACACGUAUAUCGAAAGCUCGUCAACUAACUUCAUAACAUUACACGUCCAGUACAAUGGACCGCGAUCUUUGACAUUGACCGCAGACUUAGGUCGCCACCUUUCGUAUAACUUUCGUAUACGGGAAAUCCUAUUUCUGCAAGCCGGCCGGCUUGGGGAACUCUAUUUAUGUUUUCGGGAGUUUCGGUACGACCCGAAACUCCCGAAGCGUUUGCCGAUGUCUGCUCGCGAGUGCUAUUGACCGCGGCCGGAAGGACAUCAAAAAACCGCGUUUUGAAGAAAGGGUCGGUAUUAUGACUCACCCGAAAACAACACUUCUGUGCCUCAUUCCGCAAAUUCAAACACAUUUUUAUUGUAUCUUAAUCCGAGCAGGCUCGUCCAUUUUCUAUCAAACAUCUACGCCAACCGCUGACAGGAUGGCCUGGUAAAAGUAAUAAAAGGCCGAUUCGGCCUGCUGCACCGGCGGGCGGGGUCGACUCAGCUUCACCAGCCAGGACUGCGGAAACCGACACUCUAUCUAGUGCCGACUUGUCUCAGGUGUAAAACAUAUGUUCAAAUGUGAUCCACUCGAACAUGUCCAGCUUUUGACCGAAAUGGGACCGAGAUGAGACUUUUAACGUAACGCUGUGUAGACCGCUGUAAGGGACGUUUCUUACCGACUGUAAACGUUAUGAGCAAUACACAUGCAUGGAUUUAUCUUUGUAAGUAAAUAUAGCAGUGCAAGCAAGUCAAACAGAAACUGCAUUUGUACCCACCCGCUUACAGAAACUACAUGUGCACACCCUACAAAUCCAAUAACCAUCAUCAGCAAGUCACCCGCCCGUAACGUAAGACCUACCAUAAAGCAAGCAGAUCUUCGGAGGCCGCUUGUGUUGGAUUUCGUUGCCCUGCUGCUGGAUACCUACAUGUAUAAGGAAGCAUACAAUCAAACAAAGCGACACGAUGGCAAUAACGACAACACACGUCAUUUGGUGCGUGCGUGUGAUUGUGUUAUAUUUCCAGCAGGAAGCGCGCAUGGCUGGACAAACUACUCCUAGACAGCAGGAACAUACCUUUACACGCAGCCGCAGCCACCUUUUAACGACCACUUAUGCAAAAUGUGUCUGUUGACUUGCCGUAAAAGCCUGCAUGAGCUACGGACUAGCUUUUAAGGCCCGCAUGGAUUACGGCGGAAGUGUACGUGCGCUUAGGGUUUUCGGGUUGCGGUCUGGGUCCUGUGCUCGGCCAUUCCGAGAUACGGCCAAUGUGUGCUACCAGUUCGUGCUGAAGAUAUAAGGAAAAUUGCAUAAUAUUUUAUCCAUGCAGGAAAUAUUCAAACAAAUUAGAAAGUCUGAUGUUCUCAAGGA
rnacentral:lncRNA from 1 species